UGAAUAAUAGGCUACUUAACCGUUCAUUGACUUUGCCUACUCAUCAGGACAUGCAUAUUUGCCGGGCUGCGCCAUGCAUGGUUUUGACUAGAUUUAUUAGUAAGAUGAGACAGACAACGGUAUAUGUCUUCAGUCGAAAGCUGAGUGGCUUCUCUGCGCGGCAGGAGCUUGAAACUGCGUGGAUAUUUAUCCGUGGCAUUCACUCUUCUUUAUCCACGGCAACGAGAGGAAGAGUAGUAGCCUACCGUGAGAAAAACCCACAACACUGAGACCGGAAUGGCUUGAUUUUCAUCAGCUCGAUUCUAUCAGCUGGACAUGGCAGAAAUGAUCAACAACCUCAUCAUGCUUUGAUGCGAAGAUUUUCUCGCGUUCUCUCAGGAGACCCUUAACUUCCAGACAGCAAUAGACAUGCCACGAAAAUUUAAACAUUUCCACUAUUCAACAGCAGCAGGUGCAAGAAAUCAAGACAAAUAAAUACCCAACCAAAAACUCAAGCCGUAGAACAAGCGGGAAACGUCAUCUUAUGAAUGGUCGGGUAGGCAUAUCAGUUCCAACUUAAACUUGGAUUGGAAACUAUGCCUUGCCGCAGCAAUAGAUCUCUGCAUGCAGGCAGCCUUCUUGCUCAAGCGUCAACAUUCCAUACGGCCAUUGGGACAGAGCGCCUGUAAAUUGGCAGUUUGUUGGGGAGAAGAACGUCAAGGAAAGUUUUGCUAGCUGGCUAGCUAACGUUAGCUCUCUGGCUAAUCCUCGAUGGACAUGUAAUCUUCUAGCUUGGAUGGCAGACAGAAGUUAUCUAGCCGGCUGACUAAGAAAUACUGCCAAACUGUCCUGGAUUGGGGGAACUGUCUGGGAUAAUGUCCUCGGGAUUAUAGAGUGUGUCAUGAAAAACCAGAAAACUUGGGAGGUUGAUGUGUUGCGGGCCGUCGGUAAAGUCCUUAAAUGUGCACCUGACCGCUGUGGUGGAGGAGGACCUAAAAUCUGACUCAUCACACCACUCUUCAAAAGGGCCAUUGCGCUCCAGAUCACCUUCUUUGCUCAGAGGUCCUUGAUGAGGAUCUUCCUCACCACACCACUCUUAAUAAUCAUCAAUAAUAAAAAGCAAUACGCCUUCAUAUACUCUGCCCCAGUCUUUCUAUGCAUGUAAUGUCUGUGGGUAAAUUAUGAAAUAAUUACUGUAUGCAGAUGUGCAUAGAAUUGUUUGAUUUAUUUUAAAUGUAAGAAUGUUUUGCAGAUUGAAACUAAUUGGUGACUAUGGAAACAAAUAAAUGUAAUGAACAAUGUUUUCAAUAUCCAACUUUAUCCCCUGCAAUACUUUUUACAGUAGGUAAUAAGCUGUAGUCAGGUGGUCAUUACCAGGUUAUGAUGAAGUCUUA